AUACGGAGGGUGCAAGCGUUACUCGGAAUCACUGGGCGUAAAGCGCGCGCAGGCGGCUUGAUAAGUUGGAUGUGAAAGCCUACGGCUCAACCGUAGAACUGCAUCCAAAACUGUCAGGCUAGAGUGUGAGAGAGGAAGAUGGAAUUAGUUGUGUAGGGGUAAAAUCCGUAGAGAUAACUAGGAAUACCAAAAGCGAAGGCGAUCUUCUGGAACAGUACUGACGCUGAGGCGCGAAAGCGUGGGGAGCAAACAGGAUUAGAAACCCCAGUAGUCC
rnacentral:rRNA from 1 species